CCUUGCUACAUAAAGGACAUACCACUUCCUGCACUGGCACUGAGCGUUGGCAUGAGACAUAAGUAUACUGUGCGCUGAGGAAUCAUCCGAUAUGAAUGUAAUUUGUAGGGAUGCUGGACUGCCUGUUUCAUUCCAUGGUUUUUUUUAACUACAGCGAGUGUCACAGCAGUUAGCUGAAGGCCAGUGUGGGCACCACACCCCAUCGUUGCUGUAUACUGGAGCCAGUUUGCAUGGCAGAUCCACAUCACCAUGGUAACAGCUGUCAGUCCUUGGGAUGGGCCAGCAUGAGCCAACAAAAAGAGAAAUAACAACAUGGCAAGCCAAUGAAUUGCCUGCAGAGGGCGACCACUAAAAGAACUAAAAGGAAGACCAGUCCUGACGAGACAUCCCCCAGGAAAAGAACAAGAGUGUCUGAACCUGGACCCCAAAAGCUAUCGUUGGGAGAAUCUCUGCAGCAGAUUAUUGGAGAGGAAUCUCAGAGAAGGCAGAGAGGAUCAGUCAUCAAGGAAGAUGAAGAGGAGGUUUGACGAGGAUGACACCAUCCUCCUCAGUGGACACCAGCGGUGAUCAUACUGAAACAGUUUGUUGAUGUAGCAAAAGAACUUGAGGAUAGAAACCUGUUUCACCAGGACAAGAAUGUGGAACAUAUCCUGAUUGAGACUGGCUCAGAUGUCCUGCACAUUCGCCUCAUGGCUGGCUUUUUUUCCCACCUGCAGGUCCUGUGCCAGCGCCAGCCGUCCGAGGACAGAGGCUCUCUCUACGCAUUGAAUAUCAUAAUUGAA